UCUCCGUUGGUGAACCAGCGGAGGGAUCAUUACAGGACUCGCAAGACUCCUACAACCCUGUGAACUUAACUAUAAGCACGUUGCUUCGGCGGGUGUCUCGGAGGGGGUUCUCCCUCCCCGAGACGCUAAACCCGCCGGCAGCCUACUAUACUCUGUCUCUUUGCGUUGGCAUCUCGAGUACAAUCAAACAAGUUAGAACUUUCAACAACGGAUCUCUUGGUUCUG
rnacentral:misc_RNA from 1 species